GGUGUAGCUCAGUGGUAAAGCACCUGCUUAGCAUGCACGAGGUCCUGGGUUCAAUCCCCAGGACUCCA
rnacentral:tRNA from 1 species